AGCGAACGCUGGCGGCAGGCCUAAUACAUGCAAGUCGAACGGCUCUUCGGAGCAGUGGCGGACGGUGAGUAACGCGUGGGAACGUGCCCGUUGGUUCGGAACAACACAGGGAAACUUGUGCUAAUACGGAAUGUGCCCUUCGGGGGAAAGAUUUAUCGCCAUUGGAGCGGCCCGCGUUGGAUUAGCUAGUUGGUGGGGUAAUGGCCCACCAAGGCGACGAUCCAUAGCUGGUCUGAGAGGAUGAUCAGCCACACUGGGACUGAGACACGGCCCAGACUCCUACGGGAGGCAGCAGUAGGGAAUCUUGCGCAUUGGGCGAAAGCCUGACGCAGCCAUGCCGCGUGAAUGAUGAAGGUCUUAGGAUUGUAAAAUUCUUUCACCGGGGAAGAUAAUGACGGUACCCGGAGAAGAAGCCCCGGCUAACUUCGUGCCAGCCGCCGCGGUAA
rnacentral:rRNA from 1 species